CCAACUCCAGGUGACCUUACAACCAGCUUUCAGAGACCAAGCAGAUUCCCACAACAUCACUUGUAUCGCUCUGAACCGAUCUCUCACAGCCAUGAGGACACUGGUGCUGAUUCUGGUGUUGGUCGCAGCCGCCAUGUCGGCUCAUGUUCCGGAAGAACGAGCCGCGGAUGUAGUUGGUGGUCUUUUGUCUUCGGGUACAGGUGGUUCGGGUGUAAUUGGUUCUGUGAAUAUAGUUGCUACUCUGGCUCAACUCCUACCAAUUAAUCUUUCGCUCCAAUCGGUCAUUGGUUUGCUCACUACUGUUGUCAACGGGUUACUUGUCCUCGUAACAAAUCUUUCUGCUGUCCUUGUCAAUGUCCUUGUCAGUGUCCUUGCCCUUUUGAAACUUUGCUCCGUAGUAAUAUCCACACUUCAAGGGUGCUCCCAUGCUGUCCUCAGCUCAAACGCCAGCGCCAGUUUCAGCUACGUCGUUUCCACGAUGAUGAAUUUCACCUCUAGUUUCCAACUAGAUCUGCAGAAUACGUGUUCCGUGACUGGAGGUUGAACAACGCUUCUUCUGACGACCUUCCUCGAUUGACCGCUAUGAACAAGACUGACCGCUAUGAACAAGACUGACCGUAUCCCAUGAUGCACUGAAAUACUCUACCAGCCCCAGGGCAGGACACACUCGUGAUGACUGUCCGUUACGGCUUGUGUUAGAGAACAAUAAACAAUAAACAUGGCUCUGUCCUGCA
rnacentral:misc_RNA from 1 species